rnacentral:rRNA from 1 species
GGGGCCCGCGGGCCUGUUAGCUAGUUGGUGGGUAGUGGCCUACCAAGGCAAUGAUGGGUAGCCGGGUUGAGAGACCGACCGGCCAGAUUGGGACUGAGACACGGCCCAGACUCCUACGGGAGGCAGCAGUGGGGAAUCUUGCACAAUGGGCGAAAGCCUGAUGCAGCGACGCCGCGUGCGGGAUGAAGGCCUUCGGGUUGUAAACCGCUUUCAGCAGGGGACGAGGCCGCAAGGUGACGGUACCUGCAGAAGAAGCCCCGGGCUAACUACGUGCCAGCAGCCGCGGGUAAAUA